GCUGGGUGUGGUGACUCACGCCUGUAAUCCCAGCACUCUGGGAGGCUGAGGUGGGUGGAUCACAGGAGGCCAGGAGUACAAGACUGGCCUGGCCAACAUGGUGAAACCCCAUCUCUA
ensembl:misc_RNA Metazoa_SRP Metazoan signal recognition particle RNA